rnacentral:rRNA from 1 species
ACAUACGACCAUAGGGUGUGGAAAACAGGGCUUCCCGUUCGCUCAGCCGUACUUAAGCCACACGCCGGUGAGUUAGUAGUUGGGUGGGUGACCACCAGCGAAUCCUCACUGUUGUAUGUUU